GGGGAGGGGUUAACAUUUGUUUUGACAUAGAGAAGCCACCGCAGUUGACAGUGCUGGAGAGACUAAAACACGGCUUUUUGUAUUUCAUCAGACAAUUUAGCUAACUACGUUGUGUAUCUGCGACAUCUCCGUGUGAAAUGGUGUGACUGAUCAUCAACUCCUGCAGUUACGUGUUGCGGCGCAUCCGGGCUGCAGUGAGAAGGGGAGAGCAGCCAGAGAAGCCCACCGCAGAAUGUAGCCAGGCCAAGGCGUGGAAGGAGGAGGGUAUGCAGAAGAAUGGACAGGUGGAGCCGGUGUUCAAACCCCUGGUAACGGAGCCGGAACCAGGCCUGAAGGUGGCAGAGUGUGCCUCUGGUGAAUGACGUUAGAGAGGGACGGAUA